ACUGUGAAGUCACAAGAGGCCCUGAGCUCUGUGGGCCCCAGGUGCCCCGGGAAAACUUGGGGGAGAAUGGGCAUCCCACCCCAGCACUUUCUAGGAAGAAGGGCAGCAUUUUGAAGGGCUGGAAGUAGAGGAAGGAGGUUGCGGGUAGAAGACUCCAUACUUUCUGUGACGCCUAUUCCUUAGGUAGGAACUUAGGAACCUCAGUCAGAGGCAUGGCUUGCCUGGGCCUCUGGGUGCAGCUGCACAGAUUCAAGCAGCCUGAAGGAAAGGUGACUGACAGCUAAUGAUCUGAAAAGAACUUGUCUCAACUCAACGUCAUUCCUGGCAUUAUCGAACAAAGCAAUAAACCUCACAGAAUGGAAGCUACAGUGUCCAGGGCCAGCUCUGCUAAGGUAACCAAAGACAGAGAAGGAGGCAAAAGUGACAGAAGAAACUCAUGGGAAACCAACAGAAAUAUAAUGGCUUUGGCAGAAAUGCAAUUAUCAAUUGGGAGCUUGUGAUGAAUGUUUUCUCAGUAUCCUAUGCUGAAAACAGGUAGAUACUAAUAUCGAUCUUCAAGGGAGGGCUGUUGAGUAUUGAAUAAGACAAAAACAUGGAAGCAAUCAGCACCAUGCUGGAAUCAAGGCUAUCUGUAAUCACAGGGCUAUUUGAAAAAGAGAAGAAAAGGUGUCUUGAAAUUCAACCAACAUGUUUCAAUUAUUUGCUCCUAAGAACAACAGAAGUUUCAACAUUCUGCCAACAGAGUAACUCCUGGAAGAUUGGCACAGAAGAAGGCACAAGGAGAGCCUUUAUAUAACCAAAGAUAUUUUUGGACCAUGAAUUCAGAAAUUCUCGGAGCCACCCAUCAGUGCCUGAGCUUCAGUGAGUCCAUAUCCCAUGUCACCCACGGCAAAGGAGACUCUAAGACUUCUGAAGAGUUUCUUGCUUCUUUCCUGUGGGGCAGUGACUCCACUUCCCAGCAGUAAUGGAAUAUCCUGAAUUAGCUACAUUAAUGUUAGAACCAUUUGGACCUCACCCAGGACUUCAACUACAUUAUGCUAAAGUUACAGAACCCAAAUUUGGCAACUGUCUGCAUCUGAACAACAGAAGUUUCAACAUUCUGCCAACAGAGUAACUCCUGGACGAUUGGCACAGAAGAAGGCACAAGGCAAAUACCCAUCUCUGUACACCCUGUGCUACUGUGUCAUGUGCUGCUCCAGGCAACUCCAAUGGAUUGGCCACCCUGGCCAAUGUGUGAGUUAUAAAGCAAUGAUGUGUAGCUAUUGAACCUACAAUUUGGUUAAAGUUAAACUCUCAAGUUUUAUAUGUUUACAAGCAUAUUGUCCUUUUGUUAAUUUCCUCCCAGUACUCAUUUCUUGACUUCUUUUAGUUUUACUAUGUAGUAAUUUUUAAAAUGUUAGUCAAAGUUAGUUAAUUUAAUUCACUUAGCAGAUUUUCCUGUAAUUUUGGUUAAACAGUAUCCUUUCUGUACAGGCCCUCCAAACACCAGCACUGAGUAGAAAGAGGCUCUGAUUCAUGAAAUGUGAAUUUAUGACAGUUGCCACUCUUAAAAAAAAAAACAAACAGACAGAACUUGAGCAAUACAUGACUGAUGCAUUCUCAGCCUGCUUCCUGUGUUCCAUCUGUCUUUCUGCCAGUGCAUUCACCCUCCAGGUUCUAGUAUGUUACGUUUAUGUUCCCCUGCUUUCUACAAUCCUGUUCAAAGAGUUGCUGACUUAACCACAGAGAGGAUUCCAGAACCUGAGACACAGAAUAAACUUGAGCAAUCAUAGUCCAUCCACUUCAUUGUCUCAUCAAAAACCAAAGGUCCAGUGAAGCUCUGGAACUCAACGCUGUAAAGGAGCGAAGGAGCUUCUAUACAGAGCCUGGAUGCCUGUCUCCUUAUCCUACUUCAGUGGACUUGACUGCAAUCCGGAUUAUGCUGUUUUCUAAGCAUUUAAAAUAAAAUAAAAAGUAUAAUAGUGUGAUAAGUUCUUUCACAAAGCAAGCAAUCACAUUUAUGUUUCUACUUACAUUUGGGUUUUCCAAAUAUGUGUGUGUGUGUGUGUGUGUGUGUGUGUGUGUGUAUGUAGACUUUAAACAUGGUGCAUCCAUCAUGUUGCACUAAAUCAAAACCACCAAAUAAUGAUGUAGAACUAAUAAAUCAAAACCAUCAAAUAAUGACAUAGAAAUCCAAUUCUCCCACCUUACACCCAUUAAGAUGGCUACU
rnacentral:lncRNA from 1 species